GGCAGGGGAGGUCAGUCCCUGCCGCGGGCCGGCUGCAGAGCGGACGUUCCGCCCUGCUCCCGGCCCCCUCUUCGCCCGCCGGGUUCGCCGUGUCGAAUAACUGCUGUCCGGAGCUUUCGUGACGCGGAGCUUCAACUGCUGCGAUCCGGAAGAAGCGAAAAGGAGUCCCCCCCGCCCCGCACCCUGAGCGCCCGGGCGUGCAAACGUGGGUGGCGGAGAGCGGCUGCCCUCCCCUCCCCUGUCCCCCCUCCCCUCGCGGCGCUCCCGUGUGUGCGGGUGUGUGAGUGCGUGUGUCUCCCUCGCUCACUCUCGCACACGUUCCGGCACUAGUGCAGGCGGCGAGCCGGCGGCUCUCCGCUCGCUCGCUCCGGCAGCUGCGUUCCCGCCUCGCCCCGCCGCCGCCGCCGCCGCCGCCGCCGCCGCC
rnacentral:lncRNA from 10 species